rnacentral:rRNA from 1 species
UACAGAGGGGGCAAGCGUUGUUCGGAAUUACUGGGCGUAAAGGGCGCGUAGGCGGCCUUCUAAGUCGAACGUGAAAUCCCCGGGCUCAACCCGGGAACUGCGUCCGAUACUGGAAGGCUUGAAUCCGGGAGAGGGAUGUGGAAUUCCAGGUGUAGCGGUGAAAUGCGUAGAUAUCUGGAGGAACACCGGUGGCGAAGGCGACAUCCUGGACCGGUAUUGACGCUGAGGCACGAAAGCGUGGGGAUCAAACGGG